AGUGAACGCUGGCGGCAGGCUUAACACAUGCAAGUCGAACGCCCCGCAAGGGGAGUGGCAGACGGGUGAGUAACACGUGGGAACGUACCCUUUGGUUCGGAAUAACUUGGGGAAACUCAAGCUAAUACCGGAUAAGCCCUUAUGGGGAAAGGUUUACUGCCGAAGGAUCGGCCCGCGUCUGAUUAGCUAGUUGGUGAGGUAACGGCUCACCAAGGCGACGAGCAGUAGCUGGUCUGAGAGGAUGAUCAGCCACACUGGGACUGAGACACGGCCCAGAAUCCUACGGGAGGCAGCAGUUGGGAAGAUGGGACAAUGGGGGCAACCCUGAUCCAUUCAUGCCGCGUGAGUGAUGAAGGCAUUAGGGUUGUAGAGCUCUUUUACCCGGGACGAUAAUGACUGUACCGGGAGAAUAAGCCCCGGCUAACUUCGAGCCAGCCGCCGCGGUAA
rnacentral:rRNA from 1 species